CGAGAGCGCGGAUAGAAAACCGAACGGCGCCGCACGCAGCCUUCGAGGCGGAGGCAGUUCUGGAAGUGACGUCACACGCAACCCAACAUGGCCGACGUUAAACAACGUAAACAUAGUCGCGAGUACGAGGGCACGGAUGCUGGAAAUUCGGGAGAUCGAGAGAGGAUAGAGAGGCUCUCGAUGGAGGAACCGGAGGUUCGGGAUGGACGGGAAGUGGGCAAACCCGUCCAGGUGGUACUUGCCCAUCCUGACCAUACUUUCGAGCUCGACGAAGACGCCCUGGAGGAGAUCCUCGUCCAGGACGAUAUCAAGGACCGAAGCGUCGUCGUCGUUUCCGUUGCCGGAGCCUUUAGAAAGGGCAAGAGCUUCCUGCUCGACUUCUUCCUUCGCUACAUGAACACCAGGUAUAAUCUCAAUAUUGAAACGAACUCGUGGCUGGGGGCGGACGAAGAUCCCUUGGAUGGUUUUUCGUGGAGGGGAGGAUCCGAGCGCGAUACUACGGGGAUUUUAAUGUGGUCGAAAGUGUUCAAGGGGACGCUUCCCAGCGGUGAGAAGGUUGCCAUUAUACUGAUGGACACUCAGGGAGCGUUCGACAGUCAAUCGACGGUCAGAGAUUGCGCAACGGUAUUCGCCUUGAGCACCAUGCUGUCUUCGGUACAAAUAUACAAUCUAUCGCAAAAUAUCCAGGAGGAUGAUCUUCAGCAUUUACAACUGUUCACCGAGUACGGUAGAUUGGCUUUGGAAAAGUCAGGCAGUGUACCAUUCCAGAGAUUACAGUUCUUGGUGAGGGAUUGGAGUUUCCCUUACGAGGCUGACUAUGGGGCUGAAGGGGGCAAAAAGAUACUCCAGAGAAGACUGGAGAUAUCGAGCAGGCAACAUCCCGAGUUGCAGAGCUUGAGGAGACACAUUAAAUCCUGUUUCUCAGACAUAUCAUGCUUCCUUAUGCCUCAUCCCGGACUAAAAGUUGCCACAAAUCCAAAUUUCGACGGUAGAUUGGCGGAAAUUGAAUCUGAGUUUAAAGUUCAACUGAAGACGUUAGUGCCGAUGCUACUUGCUCCGGAAAAUUUAGUUACGAAAAAAAUUGACGGUCAAGUCGUCAAAGCUAGAGACCUGUUAGAGUAUUUCAAGAGUUACAUUAAAAUUUACAGAGGAGACGAGCUUCCCGAACCGAAGAGUAUGCUUGUGGCAACAGCUGAGGCGAACAACUUGUCCGCGGUAGCCGAGGCGAAAGAUCUGUACUCGCAGAUGAUGGAAAAUGUCUGCGGGGGUGCCAAACCAUUUUUGGCAACAGCUCACCUAGAGUCGGAGCACCAAAGGUGCGUCGACAGAGCGCUCUAUCAAUUCUCGAAUAAACGAAAAAUGGGGGGCGACGAGUUCAGCCAAACUUACAUGGAAAAAUUACAAAAGGACAUGGAUGACUCGUUUCAACAAUUCAAGGCGCACAAUGAAAGUAAAAAUAUUUUCAAGGCAGCUCGAACACCGGCAGUGUUUUUCGCCAUUGCCGUAACAAUGUACAUCCUCUCCGGACUAUGCGGCUUGGUUGGUCUCUACACCAUUGCAAAUAUUUGUAAUCUUGUUAUGGGCAUUGGACUCUUGACGCUGGUGCUGUGGGCCUACAUCAGAUACAGUGGAGAGCUUCGAGAGCUCGGAACACAAAUAGAUGAAUUAGCAAGUGCCAUUUGGGAAAAUGCCUGGCUAUGUGUACACCUCAUUCACAGGUUGCGAUACAUAAUCCUUUCCGUAUUUUUUGUUUUUAUAUGCUCCAUCCCUUCCGUCGCCCUCAUUCGUAGUUAUCUUCGCAAGCAUCGCAAAGUCUGAUCCCACGCUUCCUUUUUCAUUCGCUAUCUAUUCAAAGUUUAUGUCGCUCUCGAAUGAAACUCUCGCCAUUGAUUUACAAUGCUUUAAACGUAGGUUACGAUGCUAUUUAUAACCCGUUUUUACUUAUGUUUCGCAAACUUGUAUAAAUUAUGUUUAUCCUAGCCUUUUAUGCCUGCAUUUUCGUUGAUGAUUUAUUAUCGUAUUAUAAUUAUUUAUCCCCGACACUAACACGCGCGCCAUCCUUCGAAUGGAAUCAACGAUUAGGAAAGUUCAUGAAACCGCUUUAUCAACAGUUCGUGGAGAAGUCGGUGUCCGUAGCUGUCGCGCAGGCUGCUGAGAUGGCUACAAAUUCGACGUUAAGUGCCAACGGCAAGCCUAAAAUAUCGUAACUUUCAUUCCCUUAAUUAUGUUUCGCCCGGUAGGAAAUAUAAAAAAAGAUAAAUACACAAGGCAUGAGAAGAAAAAUAUAAAGCUGCUAACGAAGCACACCGCAAUAAUGCAAUCUUACAAAAGAAGAAGGAAAAAAAAAAACUUAUUUUUGGCAUGACUAAAUUCAGAUUCGAUACAAUUAUUAUCAAACACGCUGUGAAAUUUUUAAA
rnacentral:misc_RNA from 1 species